rnacentral:rRNA from 1 species
ACUCCUACGGGAGGCAGCAGUGGGGAAUAUUGCACAAUGGGGGAAACCCGUGAUGCAGCCAUGCCGCGUGUGUGAAGAAGGCCUUCGGUUGUAAAGCACUUUCAGUAGGGAGGAAGGUAGUGUAGUUAACACCUGCAUUAUUUGUACGUUACCUACAGAAGAAGCACCGGCUAACUCCGUGCCAGCAGCCGCGGUAAUACGGAGGGUGCGAGCGUUAAUCGGAAUUACUGGGCGUAAAGCGCAUGCAGGCGGCCUGUUAAGUCAGAUGUGAAAGCCCGGGGCUUAACCUCGGAAUUGCAUUUGAAACUGGCAGGCUAGAGUCUUGUAGAGGGGUUAGGAAUUUCAGGUGUAGCGGUGAAAUGCGUAGAGAUCUGAAGG